rnacentral:rRNA from 1 species
UACGUAGGGGCCAAGCGUUGUCCGGAUUUAUUGGGCGUAAAGAGCUCGUAAGCGGUUGGGUAAGUCGGGUGUGAAAACUCCAGGCUCAACUUGGAGAUGCCACCCGAUACUGCUCUGACUUGAGUUCGGUAGGGGAGUGGGGAAUUCCUGGUGUAGCGGUGAAAUGCGCAGAUAUCAGGAGGACACCGGUGGCGAAGGCGCCACUCUGGGCCGAAACUGACGCUGAGGAGCGAAAGCGUGGGGAGCAAACAGG